rnacentral:rRNA from 1 species
AGAGUUUGAUCAUGGCUCAGGAUGAACGCUAGCGGCAGGCUUAAUACAUGCAAGUCGUGGGGCAGCAGGGGUGUAGCAAUACACUCGCUGGCGACCGGCAAACGGGUGCGGAACACGUACGCAACCUACCCAAAACUGGGGAAUAGCCCGGGGAAACCCGGAUUAAUACCUCGUAACACCAUGAAGUGGCAUCACUAUAUGGUUAUAGCUCCGGCGGUUUUGGAUGGGCGUGCGCCUGAUUAGGUAGUUGGCGGGGUAACGGCCCACCAAGCCAGCGAUCAGUAACUGGUGUGAGAGCACGACCAGUCACACGGGCACUGAGACACGGGCCCGACUCCUACGGGAGGCAGCAGUAAGGAAUAUUGGUCAAUGGACGCAAGUCUGAACCAGCCAUGCCGCGUGAAGGAUGAAGGUCCUCUGGAUUGUAAACUUCUUUUAUAUGGGACGAAACCCGGGAAUUCCUUCCCGAUUGACGGUACCAUAGGAAUAAGCACCGGCUAACUCCGUGCCAGCAGCCGCGGUAAUAC